GUGAUAAAGAUGUGCGUGAACAACACGUACGUCCACUAUUAUUGGCGGGUGCCGCUAGAGAUGUCAAAUGGGCGGGUUGGGCAGGUCUGGAUGUGUCCGAAUGGACUUCAUUUUUUUGCUGGACAUUUUUGGUCGAAGCCCAAAUAGAACCAUGUCCAAAUGAGACCAUAACCAAAUAAGACAAUGUUUUGUUGCGCUAUCCAUGGGCGGCCUAUACGCCCACUUAAUGUAAACAACAUAAUUUCAGUUUUAAAGAUUUAAAGAUUUUUAAGUUUUCAAUUUUAAAAAUGUCAUAUACUUAAACUUUAUGUUUUAAACUUCAUGUUUCAAAAUUAUAAAAAAUACAAGAUAAGUUCAAAAGAUUCGUGAUUUCGUCUGACUUGCGGAAACAGAAACAGUCGUGAGACUCGCCACCAGCUUCGUUAUGAACACAAAUCACCAAUCCAUCUAACACCUAACCCAUAACACAAUAUUAGUAGAUGAUACGAAUCGUACCUAAUAGUGAAAACCCAUAACACAAAUCACGAAAUCAAACCUUAAGAGAUGAUGAAAUCAGAAGUUGGUGAAGAAUCGAAAGAGAAUCGAAGAAGAACGAAGACGCGGAAGAAGAAUCGAACACGAAGAGGAAGAAUCGAAUACGAGGGCUCGAAGAAGAAAAAUCGAAGACGAGGACUAGAAGAGGAAGAAUCAAACACGAAGAAAAAUCGCAAGAGUAAGACGGAAAGAAAAAAAAGAGGUGAUUUGUGUUUUUCUCAAUUUUUUCAAACCCUAGUCAUUUAAGGUUAUUGGGCCGGCCAUUGUCCAAUUGGUUAAGUCCAAUGUUGUCCAUAGAUAUAAUUGGAUUCACCCAUCUGGACAAAUUUUAAUUAUGGUUUAAUAUGGGUGUGUCCAUUUUGGACCAUAUUGAUUUGGACACGGGUCACCCAUUUAUAGCCUGCCCAUUUGACAUCUCUAGGUGCCGCCAAAGGAGCUUGCGGUGCCAGUGAUACUGGAGAUCAGGGGAGGUGCAUUACAUGUGUCGUUUACCCUUAAUCGUGGUGAUUUUGUAUGUAGAAUUGUAGAUAAACAUUUGAUUGAGUUCUCUUUAUCAUGGGCUUUUUAACUGACCCACGGUAAUGGGGCAAACAAGAUGAUCAUUUUAUUAACCAUGAAUUUACUUCCAAAUAAUUCUUUUCAAAUUAAGUAAAUUUCGUAUUAUAUGCCUUUGUUUGAGUAUAUUAUGAUUUAUUUUCUUUCGGUUCAACAAUACACUUUUCAUUAACCAAAUUCAAGAGCUUACAACCGGUUUAUCAACAUCUACAAAAGUUUUUAACCACGUUAGUAAAACAGAAUACAACUUAGGUAUAAAGAACGCGAACGUAUAAGUUUCCUUGAGUAAUACUCCACAUCAAAACCUCGAUUUUCUGCCAUCAAGAAAGAGAUUUUGAAAUCUGCGAUAGAAGUUUUAUUGUCGGUCACAUAGAUUUUUCUCCAUUGAUUAGCUUUUUUACCACCAUGGAAUCUGUCUCAAAAACCACUCGUGUAUAUCGAAGUUUGAGAGAAUUUGAAUGGCCCAUCUUAGUGCUUCAGCCUCUGCUUCUAACGCUCAUCUCAAUCUUGAUAGCUUCCUCGCUCCUGCCCACACUUGAUUUCCAUGAUGGUCUCUCGCCACCUAUCCUAUUCCACCUUCUCCCGUAUCUUUAUUCCAGGCUCCAUCGGUGUUACAUUUGAUCCAUGUUAGUGGUAGUGAUUUCCAUCUCUGAUCAGGUUUCUAUACGGUGAUGUUUUUAACCUCUACACUUUUAAUUUCUUCUCUGCUUUUUCAGUGCCUCUCGUCCUCUUUUGUUUUAGUAAUCGUAUAUUAUGAUUUUAUUGUUUGAUACUUGAGUGUGUAUUCAAUCUAUUAUGAUUUGAUUGUUGAUAAAAGUGUAAUUUUAGUUGAAUUUAAAUUUUUUACUAUGAUUUUAAUUAAAAUAGUUUAAAAUAUCAUAUAAAACUAUGAUAUUUGAAUAAUUUAUUUUAUUUUAAAUUAUAAAAAUUCAGUAAAACAUUUUGAAUAUCUUAUCUAACCUAUACUAAAAGGAGAAUAAGCUCAAAGCUCAGCCUAUCCACGUCACCUAAGAAAAUUAACCAAUCAUAAGACUCUAUUUUGACACAUCACCUUGGCUAAAAUAGAGUGGAGUUUCGUAUGGGCUUUAUUAUAUUAUCGGUCGACCCAUUUGAGCACAUGCCCAAAAAUCUGUUUCGUCGUCGUCUUCAAGCGUCAAGAGUCUCUCCCCCGACUCUUCCACUUCAUCUUCUCCAAUGUCUGGGUUUUUUUUUCCAUUACCUUCUCAAUCAAUGAGGAUGUUAAAGCUAUUCUCCAACGUUUUGUUCCACCUACCUUUGAUACUUCUCCUAUAUAAAGCUCUACCUCUAACCUAAAUCCAUCCAGAAUCAAAAACCCUACUCUGCAGAAACUAAAUUGCAAUGAAAUCCACAACGAAGUCUCAGCUUACCACCGGCAUAUCUCCCGUCGCCGUCUAUUUCAACGACAUCUCACCAAGACCAGAUGAGUCACAGCUUCGGUUUCAGAAUAAAGUCGGCCAGGUAUGUGAUACUUAGCCACCUUGAGCACGUACACAUAUGUGUCUCACAAUGGAGAGAAAGUUGCUGUGAAAAUACAAAGAUCUGGACUAAAGUUUUCGAUAUAGAUCUAUGAAAUUUGAUGUUGCUUGAUGAAUAUUUCUGGAAAAGUGAUCCAUUUGCCCCAAACGCCCCGGAUGGUAUUUACGAAAAAUGUGCCAUGUAAGUCUUUUUAACAUAAAGUAGUUAUAACUCUGGCUCUAAAACAUGUGGCGCUGAUAUAUCAAGAGUAAUGCUAAAGUGUCAAACUUAUAAUGGUUUCAAACUUAUUUUAUGGUUUGGCUGUUUUAGAUACUCCAAACCGCCUACUUUCAUGAUGUUUAAGUCAAUUUCAAUAAUCUUGAUAAUCAAGACAAAGCUUAACCACUGCUUGAAAAAAUAUUUACAAUCCAUUAUUUGUUCAAUUAGAUAUUUAAUCAUAAAUAAGAGACUAAAUCAUGUUAUUAUGUAUACACUAUAUAUUGUUCUCUGUUUGUAGCUUGCAGAUAACCAAAGUUAUGAGUCAUGAAACUUUUUUAAAGGACAGGUGGUGCGCUCUGGGAAUCACAGCAAGGAUCCUCAGUACCACAGUCUGGAUCACUUCUUUGACAGGUUCUAACAUGAUCAUGCCACUUUGGUUACACAUUGGGUCUUUUGAUUUUGAAAGUAUUUGAAUUUAUAUUAGUUCUGUGUUUUGAUAUAAGCCAGCCUCUAAAUGUAGACCCCAAAAACAUUUCUGAUAGUUUACAGCGUCUACAUUUAGAUCCGACAUGGGUUGUUGGUUCGAUGAGGCUAAAUAGUUAUAUUUACAUGAAGUUCAUGGUCGGCUUCAGUGCAAAUGCAAAGGCAGCGAAUGUAUAUAAGAAGAAAGCUGAAAGUCCUACGAAAACAUGGAUACAACAUGCUCUGUUUUGAGAGAGUGGAAGCUGUAAAUCAUCAGUAACUGUGGCAGAGGUUUAACGAUCCCAAUCAGGACAGACACUCUUCGCAGAGUUGAUAUUAAAGCCAUCAGUUGAAAAGGGUAAGGCAGCAAAGCAGGCUGGUAAGCCAAAAAUAAGUUUUGUACAGUGUAAAUAAACAGAGCAAACAUUGCUAACGGAAAAGGAGGAGAAGCCAGUGAAACCAGUAUCAUCUAUGUAACUGAGCUACCUAACGCUCAUGGCUUCAUUAGUGGACUGCAACAGGCCUAUGAUACAAUGGUGGGUGAAAGAGGACUUCAGUUAUCAGGCAGAAAAUAGUAGAGAGUGGUAGCCAUAGCAAUUUUUAAAGAUCCUAUGGUGUGGGCCGUGUGGUUUAGGGAUGAAGCAACAAUUACUGUUGAUAUUUAGUCAGAGUCUGGGGUUCAUGAGUUAAUUGCAUAGGUUAGAAAGAAAAGCAAGCCACUGAUCCCAAUAUAUGAGGGUCUCUAUGUUUCUUUAGUACAACUUCAUUUGACUGCUUCUGCGAAAACAUUUUUUAAGGGAUUACCUACCAUUUGAGCAAA